CCUGAACGCUGGCGGCGUGGCUAAGACAUGCAAGUCGCACGGACCCGCAAGGGUUAGUGGCGAACGGGUGAGUAAUGAAUCGCUAAUGUACCCCGGACUCUGGGAUAGCCUUCCGAAAGGGAGGGUAAUACCAGAUGAUAUAACUUUGUCGCAUGACAGAGUUCUCAAAGGUCCGCCGGUCUGGGAGCAGGCGAUUUCGUAUCAGCUAGUUGGUGAGGUAACGGCUCACCAAGGCGACGACGCGUAGCCGGACUGAGAGGUUGGCCGGCCACAUUGGGACUGAGACACUGCCCAGACUCCGUACGGGGGGCUNCAGUAACGAA
rnacentral:rRNA from 1 species